rnacentral:rRNA from 1 species
UGCGUAGGCGGCGCGGCAAGUUGGGUGUGAAAUACCUCGGCUUAACCGAGGAACUGCGCCCAAAACUGCCGUGCUUGAGGAAGAUAGAGGUGAGCGGAACUUAGGGUGGAGCGGUGAAAUGCGUUGAUAUCCUAAGGAACACCGGUGGCGAAAGCGGCUCACUGGAUCUUUUCUGACGCUGAGGCACGAAAGCUAGGGGAGCGAACG